rnacentral:rRNA from 1 species
CGCCUGUUUAACAAAAACAUGUCCUUUUGAUUAAAUAUAAGGUCUAACCUGCCCACUGAUAAUUAAAUGGCCGCAGUAUUUUAACUGUGCAAAGGUAGCAUAAUCAUUAGUCUUUUAAUUGAAGGCUGGAAUGAAUGGUUGGACGAGAUAUUGACUGUUUCAUUUUAACUUGUGUUAGAAUUUUAUUUUUCAGUAAAAAAGCUGAAAUAAAUUUUAAAGACGAGAAGACCCUAUAAAUCUUUAUAAUUAAGUUGUUACGGUUUUUUGGAUAUUUUGUGCUGUGAUGGUAAGUAUUAUUUUGUUGGGGUGACAUUAAAAUUUAUGGAACUUUUAAUUUUUGGUUACAUUAAUUAAUGAUUUUUUGAUCCGUUAGUAGCGAUUAUAAAAUUAAGUUACUUUAGGGAUAACAGCGUAAUUUUUUUGGAGAGUUCUUAUCGAUAAAAGGGAUUGCGACCUCGAUGUUGGAUUAAGAGAUAGAUUUGGGUGUAGCAGCUUGAGAUCUAAGUCUGUUCGACUUUUAAAAUCUUACAUGAUCUGAGUUCAAACCGG